UACGUAGGUGGCAAGCGUUGUUCGGAAUAACUGGGCGUAAAGGAUGCGUAGGCGGUUAAACAAGUUAUAUGUUAAAUAUAUAGGCUUAACCUGUAGAAAGCAUAUAAAACUGUUUAACUAGAGUGCAGGAGAGGUAAGUGGAAUUCCUAGUGUGGCGGUGAAAUGCGUAGAGAUUAGGAAGAACACCAGUGGCGAAGGCGACUUACUGGACUGUAACUGACGCUGAGGCAUGAGAGCAUGGGGAGCAAACAGG
rnacentral:rRNA from 1 species